rnacentral:sRNA from 1 species
GCUGGGAUUUGAACUCAGGACCUCUGGAAGAGCAGUCGGUGCUCUUAACCACUGAACCAUCUCUCCAGCCCGAGAUUUUAUCUUUCUACGUCAGUCUGUAACAACUAGCGCUCAGCAUAUAAGCUACCAAGUGUUGACCAUCUGGGCCACCUCUCACAUGAUCACUGUCAACUUUCAUCUGUUGGGGCCAGCAGCUCUUCAGUCUGCCUUCUGGGAUCCAGAACUCUUCUUGGGACAUCGAAGGUUAGACUAUGGACAUUUAAAACAUUGAUGAUAAUGAUGAUGGUGAAGAAG